GCCAUGCAUGUCUAAGUAUAAGCAAUUAUACGGCGAAACUGCGAAUGGCUCAUUAAAUCAGUUAUUGUUUAUUUGAUAGUACCUUACUACUUGGAUAACCGUGGUAAUUCUAGAGCUAAUACAUGCUAAAAACCCCGACUUCGGGAGGGGUGUAUUUAUUAGAUUAAAAACCAAUGCCCUCCGGGGCUUCUUGGUGAUUCAUGAUAACUUCUCGGAUCGCACGGCCUUGCGCCGGCGACGGUUCAUUCAAAUUUCUGCCCUAUCAACUUUCGACGGCUGGGUAUUGGCCAGCCGUGGUGACAACGGGUAACGGAGGGUUAGGGCUCGACCCCGGAGAAAACGCCUGAGAAACGGCGUUUACAUCCAAGGAAGGCAGCAGGCGCGCAAAUUACCCAAUGCCGACUCGGCGAGGUAGUGACGAUAAAUACUGGUACGGGGCUCUUUCGGGUCUCGUAACUGGAAUGAGUACAAUUUAAAUCCCUUAACGAGGAACAAUUGGAGGGCAAGUCUGGUGCCAGCAGCCGCGGUAAUUCCAGCUCCAAUAGCGUAUAUUAAAAUUGUUGAGAUUAAAAAGCUCGUAGUUGAACCUUGGGCCUGGCUGGCCGGUCCGCCUCACCGCGUGCACUGGUCCGGCCGGGCCUUUCCCUCCGGGGAACCCCAUGCCCUUCACUGGGCGUGGCGGGGAACCGGGACUUUUACUUUGAAAAAAUUAGAGUGUUCAAAGCAGGCCUAUGCUCGGAUACAUUAGCAUGGAAUAAUAGAAUAGGACGUGUGGUUCUAUUUUGUUGGUUUCUAGGACCGCCGUAAUGAUUAAUAGGGACAGUCGGGGGCGUCAGUAUUCAAUUGUCAGAGGUGAAAUUCUUGGAUUUAUUGAAGACUAACUACUGCGAAGGCAUUCGUCAAGGAUGUUUUCAUUAAUCAGGAACGAAAGUUAGGGGAUCGAAGACGAUCAGAUACCGUCGUAGUCUUAACCGUAAACUAUUAAGUCUAGGGAUCGGACGGUGGUUCUAUUUGCCCCGUCCGGCACCUUACACGAAAGUAUAAGAGCUUAUUCUGGGGAAAUACGGUA
rnacentral:rRNA from 1 species